CGGUGCUGUGAAUGGCAGGAGUGUGGUGCCUGCCUGAGAGCUAGGUGAGAGGCCUAGGCGGGCAGUGGGCUGUCUGCUCCUGCCCACUCCUGAAGGAGACCUGAGGUUUACUCCCUGGGGAAUUUGGAUCAGCACAUCAGGUACUAUGAAGAGCAGGUACGGGGCACAGAACUGGAAAUAUGGGGAACAAAAGAAAAUCUAGAUACUAAAAGUUUCACUCUCAGAGGAGGAUUUUGUUCUUCAAUUGUGGAGUGAUCUCUAUCACCAGUGACUAAAGAUGUUGGAGCACAGAAAGCCAUACCGCAAAAUAUGAUGCUUCAGCAUGCUGAGUGCUUUGAAAAUUGAAAGGCCUCGGAAAUAAGCCUCAGUCUAGGGUCUCCCUCUGACUUCCCCCUACCUCCCUUUCUCUCUGAUCCCGUCUCUCCCAAAGCACCGAAUGAAGCUGUUCGCUGAAGUUCCCUUAUCUACCUAGAAACUGGACCCCCAAAGAGGAACACAAUUGCCUUUUAUCCCUUCCCUGAAAUUUCAUUAACCAGAGAAAAUUAAAACUUCUAUCACAGAGGAAGAGACUGAACAUUAAACACCAUAGCUACAGCCCAGACAAACUUCUUCCCAAACCAUUGUUUGUUCUCCCGCCCCAUUAAAUUGCCAGAAAAUCAUUCACAAGAUAAAGUCUGCCUCU